AUUGAACGCUGGCGGCAGGCCUAACACAUGCAAGUCGAGCGCGAAAGUUCUUCGGAAUGAGUAAAGCGGCGGACGGGUGAGUAACGCGUGGGAAUCUGCCCAGUAGUGGGGGACAACAGUCGGAAACGACUGCUAAUACCGCAUACGCCCUACGGGGGAAAGGGGGGGAUCUUCGGACCUCUCGCUAUUGGAUGAGCCCGCGUCGGAUUAGCUAGUUGGUAGGGUAAAGGCCUACCAAGGCUACGAUCCGUAACUGGUCUGAGAGGAUGAUCAGUCACACUGGAACUGAGACACGGUCCAGACUCCUACGGGAGGCAGCAGUGGGGAAUAUUGGACAAUGGGCGCAAGCCUGAUCCAGCCAUGCCGCGUGUGUGAAGAAGGCCUUAGGGUUGUAAAGCACUUUCAGUGGGGAGAAAGG
rnacentral:rRNA from 1 species